rnacentral:rRNA from 1 species
GUUGAUUAUGGCUCAGGAGAACGCUGGCGGCGUGCCUAACACAUGCAAGUCGAGCGGGGACAUACGACGGAACCAAAGUUUCGGAUGGAGGUGAAGAUGUAUGUUCUAGCGGCGGACGGGUGAGUAACGCGUGAGCAACCUGUCCCUUACAGGGGGAUAACACAGCGAAAGUUGUACUAAUACCGCAUGAGACCACGGGGAGACGUCUUUCUGAGGUCAAAGGAGCAAUCCGGUAAGGGGUGGGCUCGCGUCCGAUUAGAUAGUUGGUGAGAUAACCGGCCCACCAAGUCGACGAUCGGUAGCCGACCUGAGAGGGUGAUCGGCCACAUUGGGACUGAGACACGGCCCAAACUCCUACGGGAGGCAGCAGUGGGGAAUAUUGGGCAAUGGGGGGAAACCCCUGACCCAGCAACGCCGCGUGAGGGAAGAAGGUUUUCGGAUCGUAAACCUCUGUCCUUGGUGAAGAGGAAGAGACGGUAGCCAAGGAGGAAGCCCCGGCUAACUACGUGCCAGCCGCAGC